UUCACUGAAUUGCAAGGCUAAGACCUAUGGGGCAUGCAUCACUGAAACCACAGAACAGGACCUAGAAACUUGAUGCCCUUCAAAACAUAAUGAUGAAGGGCUUCCUGUGGAGCUGUACUACACAGUGUAUGCUUACUACAUCAUGCAGUAAGGUAUAAAUCAGCACAAAUUCCUGAAGCAAUGUGGUGUAAGAUCGACAGCACUAUGAAGAAGACAGCAGAAGCACUUCAUAAAAUGUGCUUUUCAGAUUUUCUUAUAAUGUCAUUGUCCAGUUCACUGGGUCUACAAGAAAGUUAAAGCAGCUGCUUUAACUUCUGAAUCUUUAGUCUUCACUGGAGUCAGAAUGCCACUUGAAAGAUAUGUUUCAACAUGU